ACUCCUACGGGAGGCAGCAGUGAGGAAUAUUGGUCAAUGGAGGCAACUCUGAACCAGCCACGUCGCGUGAAGGAUGACGGCCCUACGGGUUGUAAACUUCUUUUAUACAGGAAUAAAGUGAGUCACGUGUGACUUUUUGCAUGUACUGUAUGAAUAAGGAUCGGCUAACUCCGUGCCAGCAGCCGCGGUAA
rnacentral:rRNA from 1 species